rnacentral:rRNA from 1 species
GACGAACGCUGGCGGCGUUCCUAAUACAUGCAAGUAGAACGCUGAAGGAGGAGCUUGCUUCUCUGGAUGAGUUGCGAACGGGUGAGUAACGCGUAGGUAACCUGCCUGGUAGCGGGGGAUAACUAUUGGAAACGAUAGCUAAUACCGCAUAAUAGUAGAUGUUGCAUGACAUUUGCUUAAAAGGUGCAAUUGCAUCACUACCAGAUGGACCUGCGUUGUAUUAGCUAGUUGGUGAGGUAACGGCUCACCAAGGCGACGAUACAUAGCCGACCUGAGAGGGUGAUCGGCCACACUGGGACUGAGACACGGCCCAGACUCCUACGGGAGGCAGCAGUAGGGAAUCUUCGGCAAUGGACGGAAGUCUGACCGAGCAACGCCGCGUGAGUGAAGAAGGUUUUCGGAUCGUAAAGCUCUGUUGUAAGAGAAGAACGAGUGUGAGAGUGGAAAGUUCACACUGUGACGGUAUCUUACCAGAAAGGGACGGCUAACUACGUG